rnacentral:tRNA from 1 species
GAGGGUAUAGCUCAGUGGUAGAGUGUGUGCUUAGCAUGCAUGAGGUCGUGGGUUCAAUCCCCAGUACCUCCA